GGCUUGACAGGGCUCAGGCUUCUCAAUCUCCUAUACUCCACAGCGAUCCGAUUAGAACCACUUGAAACAGCAGCAGAUCACUUUUGAGAUGCUAGUCAGCAGGAAAGCCUCUAAAAUUAAACCAACCACUAAAACCUCCACAAUGGGAGACUAACAAACCACACAAAAGGAUCAGAAAACCAUUUAAAGGAAAUUACAUAUAUUGCACAUAAAAAUGAAGAGAAAGUGGGAGUAAGCCAGGCCAAGAGGCCGGAUUUCCCCACUUACCUAAAACCAGUAACUGCAAGUUUAGAGUGAAGGGAGAUAAAAGCGUCUUGAGAGAGAGUUUAAUUCUGCCAGCCAUUGGCACUUGGCAGAUUAGCAAUCAAGCGUAUAUAGAGAUCCAACCUUCACCUUAACAUAAAUAUGAACAUGAUCACCGGACACCAUUCCCCUCUCCAUACUCCACAAAUAUCAUAUAAUAACUGUACAAACUCG
rnacentral:misc_RNA from 1 species